GGCACUUGAAGUGGAGAAACCUGUGAAGAAGCUGCUAUUGCUUCUUAGCCUUGGACUUGUACUAGGGAUUUGAGAGACUUGGAAGGAGGAGACACUUGAAACAGACGUGGUUCAAAUAAAACACAAGACACUCAUCAUGGCUUUGAAGGCCCAGAAUGACCUGGUUCCUGUCUUUCCCCUUUCAUUUGUGUGGGCCAUGGCAUUUUAGUACUACCUUGUGAAGGAUCGGAGUAGCUGCCAGUCAACUUUCACAAAGUAAAUACCCUUAUUCAGAGCCUGUCUCAGCUGUUCAUCUGUAAAAGAUUAAACUAAACAAUGUCUGUACUUCAUGCUUGAAGAGACCUGCAAUAGAUAAUUUUAUGGCUUUUCUAACCAGAUACCCAU